GUGCUUGCUCCAGCAGCACAUAUGUUAAAACUGGAGUGAUACAGAGAAGAUUAGCACAGCCCCUGUAUAAGGAUGUCUUUCAAAUUCAUAAAGUAUUCCACAUUUUU